rnacentral:rRNA from 1 species
AACGAACGCUGGCGGCAUGCCUAACACAUGCAAGUCGAACGAGACCUUCGGGUCUAGUGGCGCACGGGUGCGUAACGCGUGGGAACCUGCCCUUAGGUUCGGAAUAACUCCCCGAAAGGGGUGCUAAUACCGGAUAAUGUCUUCGGACCAAAGAUUUAUCGCCUUUGGAUGGGCCCGCGUUGGAUUAGCUAGUUGGUAGGGUAAAAGCCUACCAAGGCGACGAUCCAUAGCUGGUCUGAGAGGAUGAUCAGCCACACUGGGACUGAGACACGGCCCAGACCCCUCGGGGAGGCAGCAGGGGGGAAUAUGGGACAAUGGGCGAAAGCCUGAUCCAGCAAUGCCGGGGGAGUGAUGAAGGCCUUGGGGUUGUAAAGCUCUUUUACCCGGGAUGAUAAUGACAGUCCCGGGAGAAUAAGCCCCGGCUAACUCCGU